UACGAAGGGGGCGAGCGUUGUUCGGAUUUACUGGGCGUAAAGGGCGCGCAGGCGGUUCAUUUUGUCGAGUGUGAAAGCCCCGGGCUCAACCUGGGAACGGCGCUCGAAACGGGUGGACUAGAGAUCGGGAGAGGAGCGUGGAAUUCCCAGUGUAGAGGUGAAAUUCGUAGAUAUUGGGAAGAACACCGGUGGCGAAGGCGGCGCUCUGGACCGAGACUGACGCUGAGGCGCGAAAGCGUGGGGAGCAAAC
rnacentral:rRNA from 1 species